UGGGGAAUAUUGCACAAUGGGCGAAAGCCUGAUGCAGCAACGCCGCGUGAGUGAUGAAGGCCUUCGGGUUGUAAAGCUCUGUCUUUUGGGACGAUAAUGACGGUACCAAAGGAGGAAGCCACGGCUAACUACGUGCCAGCAGCCGCGGUAAUACGUAGGUGGCAAGCGUUGUCCGGAUUUACUGGGCGUAAAGGAUGCGUAGGCGGAUUUUAAGUGAGAUGUGAAAUACCCGGGCUUAACUUGGGUGCUGCAUUUCAAACUGGGAAUCUAGAGUGCGGGAGAGGAGAAUGGAAUUCCUAGUGUAGCGGUGAAAGUGCGUAGAGAUUAGGAAGAACACCAGUGGCGAAGGCGAUUCUCUGGACCGUCAACUGACGCUGAGGCAUGAAAGCGUGGGUAGCAAACAGGAUUAGAUACCCUGGUAGUCCACGCCGUAAACGAUGAGUACUA
rnacentral:rRNA from 1 species